rnacentral:rRNA from 1 species
AGAGUUUGAUCCUGGCUCAGGACGAACGCUGGCGGCGUGCCUAACACAUGCAAGUCGAGCGGUUUGGUUUUCAGCACUGAGUAUUUACAGCGUCAAGGCUGCGCAAGCAGACUUCACGCGUUAAAUAGUGUAACACACUACGUGAGUAUUGAGUGCUGGAAACCAGAUAGCGGCGGACGGGUGAGUAACACGUGGGCAACCUGCCCUAAGGAGAGGGAUAACACCAGGAAACUGGUGCUAAUACCGCAUAAAUCAUCUCCAGCACAUGCUGGAGAUGACAAAGAUUUAUCGCCUUAGGAUGGGCCCGCGUCCCAUUAGCCAGUUGGUGAGGUAACGGCCCACCAAAGCUACGAUGGGUAGCCGACCUGAGAGGGUGAUCGGCCACAUUGGAACUGAGACACGGUCCAGACUCCUACGGGAGGCAGCAGUGGGGAAUAUUGCACAAUGGGGGAAACCCUGAUGCAGCAACGCCGCGUGAGCGAUGAAGGCCUUCGGGUUGUAAAGCUCUGUCUUCGCUGACGAUAAUGACGGUAAGCGAGGAGGAAGCCACGGCUAACUACGUGCCAGCAGCCGCGGUAAUACGUAGGUGGCAAGCGUUGUCCGGAAUUACUGGGCGUAAAGGAUGCGUAGGCGGCUUCUUAAGUGGGAUGCGAAAUGCCGGGGCUUAACCCCGGAUGUGCAUUCCAUACUGGGAGGCUAGAGUGCAGGAGAGGAAAGCGGAAUUCCCAGUGUAGCGGUGAAAUGCGUAGAGAUUGGGAGGAACACCAGUGGCGAAGGCGGCUUUCUGGACUGUAACUGACGCUGAGGCAUGAAAGUGUGGGGAGCAAACAGGAUUAGAUACCCUGGUAGUCCACACCGUAAACGAUGGGCACUAGGUGUAGGGGGCGUAGCCCUCUGUGCCGCAGUUAACACAUUAAGUGCCCCGCCUGGGGAGUACGAUCGCAAGAUUAAAACUCAAAGGAAUUGACGGGGGCCCGCACAAGCAGCGGAGCAUGUGGUUUAAUUCGAAGCAACGCGAAGAACCUUACCAGGACUUGACAUCCACGGAAUCCUUAAGAGAUUAGGGAGUGCCCCUUCGGGGGAACCGUGAGACAGGUGGUGCAUGGUUGUCGUCAGCUCGUGUCGUGAGAUGUUGGGUUAAGUCCCGCAACGAGCGCAACCCCUGUUGCUAGUUGCCAUCAUUAAGUUGGGCACUCUAGCGAGACUGCCGAGGUUAACUCGGAGGAAGGUGGGGAUGACGUCAAAUCAUCAUGCCCUUUAUGUCCUGGGCCACACACGUGCUACAAUGGCUGGUACAGCGAGAUGCAAUACCGCGAGGUGGAGCAAAUCUUCAAAACCAGUCCCGGUUCGGAUUGUAGGCUGCAACCCGCCUACAUGAAGCUGGAGUUGCUAGUAAUCGUGGAUCAGAAUGCCACGGUGAAUGCGUUCCCGGGCCUUGUACACACCGCCCGUUACACCAUGAGAGUUGGCAAUACCCAAAGUCCGUGAGGUAACCGUAAGGAGCCAGCGGCCUAAGGUAGGGUCAGCGAUUGGGGUGAAGUCGUAACAAGGUAGCC